CGUCUGGUGGAUAGCUCGGCUCGGACGCUGAGGAAGGGCGUGACAAGCUGCGAUAAGCCUCGGGUAGGCGCAUGUAGCCGUCGAUCCGAGGAUCCCUGAAUGGGACCUCCUAUCCCUAAGGCCUUCGGGCUUUAGGGAUGCUCCUACGGGAGCGGGAACCCCCCGAACGGAAACAUCUUAGUAGGGGGAGGAAGAGAAACCAACCGGGAUUCCCUGAGUAGCGGCGAGCGAAAGGGGAAGAGUCCAAACCAAACCCUGCAGGGAAACCUGUGGGGGAUGUGGUGUUAUGGGCCCAGCUGCCUCCUCCUCGGCGAAGCUGAAGUGGCCUGAAACGGCCCGCCGUAGAGGGUGAAAGCCCCGUAAGCGUAAGCCGAGUGGAGUUGAGCUGGUGUCCCAGAGUACCGUACCCUGACUUGGGUGCGGGAAUUUGGGAGUCACCAACUUCCAAGACUAAAUACGUUCCGAGACCGAUAGCGAACAAGUACGGUGACGGAAAGCUGAAAAGUGCCCCGGAAGGG
rnacentral:rRNA from 1 species